rnacentral:rRNA from 1 species
CCUGGCUCAGAGCGAACGCUGGCGGCAUGCUUACACAUGUAAGUCGCACGGAUCUUUCGGGAUUAGUGGCGGACGGGUGAGUAACGCGUAGGGAUCUAUCCAUGGGUGGGGGACAACUCCGGGAAACUGGAGCUAAUACCGCAUGAUACCUGAGGGUCAAAGGCGCAAGUCGCCUGUGGAGGAACCUGCGUUCGAUUAGCUAGUUGGUGGGGUAAAGGCCUACCAAGGCGAUGAUCGAUAGCUGGUUUGAGAGGAUGAUCAGCCACACUGGGACUGAGACACGGCCCAGACUCCUACGGGAGGCAGCAGUGGGGAAUAUUGGACAAUGGGCGAAAGCCUGAUCCAGCAAUGCCGCGUGUGUGAAGAAGGUCUUCGGAUUGUAAAGCACUUUCGACGGGGACGAUGAUGACGGUACCCGUAGAAGAAGCCCCGGCUAACUUCGUGCCAGCAGCCGCGGUAAUACGAAGGGGGCUAGCGUUGCUCGGAAUGACUGGGCGUAAAGGGCGCGUAGGCGGUUGAUGCAGUCAGAUGUGAAAUCCCCGGGCUUAACCUGGGAACUGCAUUUGAGACGCAUUGACUAGAGUUCGAGAGAGGGUUGUGGAAUUCCCAGUGUAGAGGUGAAAUUCGUAGAUAUUGGGAAGAACAC